rnacentral:rRNA from 1 species
GUGAGGAAUUUUCCGCAAUGGGCGAAAGCCUGACGGAGCAAUGCCGCGUGAAGGAUGAAGGCCUAUGGGUUGUAAACUUCUUUUCUCAGAAAAGAAUUAUGACGGUAUCUGAGGAAUAAGCAUCGGCUAACUCUGUGCCAGCAGCCGCGGUAAGACAGAGGAUGCAAGCGUUAUCCGGAAUGAUUGGGCGUAAAGCGUCUGUAGGUUGCUUAAAAAGUAUUCUGUCAAAGAUUAGGGCUUAACCCUAGAUAGGCAGAAUAAACUUUUAAGCUAGAGUUUGGUAGAGGCAGAGGGAAUUCCCGGUGGAGCGGUGAAAUGCGUAGAUAUCGGGAGGAACACCAAAGGCGAAGGCACUCUGCUGGGCCAAUACUAACACUGAGAGACGAAAGCGAGGGGAGCAAAUGGGAUUAGAUACCCUUGUAGUCC